CAGCAGCCGCGGUAAAACGUAGGGUGCAAGCGUUAAUCGGAAUUACUGGGCGUAAAGCGUGCGCAGGCGGUGUUGUAAGACUGAUGUGAAAUCCCCGGGCUCAACCUGGGAACUGCAUUGGUGACUGCAACGCUGGAGUGCGGCAGAGGGGGAUGGAAUUCCGCGUGUAGCAGUGAAAUGCGUAGAUAUGCGGAGGAACACCGAUGGCGAAGGCAAUCCCCUGGGCCUGCACUGACGCUCAUACACGAAAGCGUGGGGAGCAAACAGGAUUAGAUACCCCAGUAGUCCCUGUCUCUUAUAC
rnacentral:rRNA from 1 species